ACAGAUCUACUUGGCUGAAAUCUUCUGCUCACUGCCAGCUGAGACUGCUGCCUUUCAUUCUACGCAUAUGUGGAGGUGACCCUAUCUCCAGCAGGUGGUGUGUGCUGUACUGAGAGGAUAAUACAAUUACAUCUAAUGCAGUCAAGCUUCUCUCCAAGUGCAAGCACAUGACACGUUUUCCAUCAGCAGGGUAAGCCCAAAAGAUAAAAGUAUAAAGUUGCACAUCUGAAAGCGGAGACACAUUGAUUUUUCCUCUUUUUUUUCCUGGUGAUUAGAGAGGCAGAAUUUAAGACGUUGCUUCUGAUUUCAGCUUCUUUCCUUGCUGGUACCUGCUUUGCAAACAUGACACCAACAGGUCAGGACAAAUGCAUCAGUCUUCAGAAUCCUGCGCUCAUCAUUUUAGCCGAUAUGCUGUUGACCUGGUGCCAGCACUGCAAAACAGGACAAGUAAUUUAAUUUGCCAUCACCGCCAACCUUGAAGAGAGGAAUGUAGGCUAGCAGAAUCCCAAUUGGGAGGUAUGAAGAAAAUUUGCUAGCGACUGAGAAAGAGGUUAGGUGGAUCUGCAUGUUGUGUCACAUCCGGGUGUCUGACCUCUAAAGAUGUAGAUUUGCCCUUCAGGUUUACGUGAAGAAAUUGGAAAAUAAAAUCCUUUGCUAAAG